rnacentral:piRNA from 1 species
UCAAAUGUUAUCCACUUUCUAGGUUUCCC